rnacentral:rRNA from 1 species
ACAAGCGGUGGAGCAUGUGGUUAAUUCGAUGAUACGCGAGAACUACCGGGUUGACAUGCAGGUGAUCGCCGUUGAAAGACGGUUCCUCUUCGGAGGCACCUGCACAGGUGCUGCAUGGCUGUCGUCAGCUCGUGUCGUGAGAUGUUGGGUUAAGUCCCGCAACGAGCGCAACCCUUAUCCCCAGUUGCCAUCAGGUAAAGCUGGGAACUCUGGGGAGACUGCCGGUGAUAAACCGGAGGAAGGCGGGGAUGACGUCAAGUCCUCAUGGCCUUUAUGACCAGGGCUACACACGUACUACAAUGGCCGGUACAAAGGGCAGCGACACAGCGAUGUGAAGCGAAUCCCGAAAAGCCGGUCUCAGUCCGGAUUGGAGUCUGCAACUCGACUCCAUGAAGUUGGAAUCGCUAGUAAUCGCGGAUCAGCACGCCGCGGUGAAUACGUUCCCGGGCCUU